AUGGACGUCCUACUAUAUGGUGGCAAAUGUUCAUGGUGCAGGGAAGUCGGUGUAAUUCCGACGCGGUCCCGCCACUGUGACCGGGGAGCUCGUCCCCUCGCGCCACUGGCAGUCCUUCGGGGCGGCUGGGAAGGCGGGGAAAGGGUGUCGAUCCGGGAGCCAGGAUACCGGCCGUGAACGUCCGUGCGAU
rnacentral:ncRNA from 2 species